rnacentral:lncRNA from 12 species
UGGAAUGCCAUAUUUAAGACAUUUAUAAUUCCAGCUUAAGCGAAUAUUGCUACAGCGCACAGGUAUUUGAAGUUGCAAGGAAUAUCUGAUGGAUUUCCUUUGGGAUGCAAUUAUUGGCAAUUGAGAAAACUUUCACAUCAGACUCCAAGUUGAAGAAAGUCAUUUAAGUAAGCUUAAGCAAUGUAAGUACUCAUUUUCACUAAAUAUUUUAAAAAUUAGUUAUUUCGAUAAAAAGGC